rnacentral:rRNA from 1 species
CAGCAGCCGCGGUAAUACGUAGGGGGCGAGCGUUGUCCGGAAUUAUUGGGCGUAAAGCGCGCGCAGGCGGUCCUUUAAGUCUGAUGUGAAAGCCCACGGCUCAACCGUGGAGGGUCAUUGGAAACUGGGGGACUUGAGUGCAGGAGAGGAGAGCGGAAUUCCACGUGUAGCGGUGAAAUGCGUAGAGAUGUGGAGGAACACCAGUGGCGAAGGCGGCUCUCUGGCCUGUAACUGACGCUGAGGCGCGAAAGCGUGGGGAGCAAACAGGAUUAGAGACCCUGGUAGUCCACGCCGUAAACGAUGAGUGCUAAGUGUUAGAGGGGUCACACCCUUUAGUGCUGCAGCUAACGCGAUAAGCACUCCGCCUGGGGAGUACGGCCGCAAGGCUGAAACUUAAAGGAAUUGGCGGG